AGUGAACGCUGGCGGUAGGCCUAACACAUGCAAGUCGAACGGCAGCACAGUAAGAGCUUGCUCUUACGGGUGGCGAGUGGCGGACGGGUGAGGAAUACAUCGGAAUCUACUUUUUCGUGGGGGAUAACGUAGGGAAACUUAUGCUAAUACCGCAUACGACCUACGGGUGAAAGCAGGGGAUCUUCGGACCUUGCGCGAUUGAUUGAGCCGAUGUCGGAUUAGCUAGUUGGCUGGGUAAAGGCCCACCAAGGCGACGAUCCGUAGCUGGUCUGAGAGGAUGAUCAGCCACACUGGAACUGAGACACGGUCCAGACUCCUACGGGAGGCAGCAGUGGGGAAUAUUGGACAAUGGGCGCAAGCCUGAUCCAGCCAUACCGCGUGGGUGAAGAAGGCCUUCGGGUUGUAAAGCCCUUUUGUUGGGAAAGAAAAGCAGCAGAUUAAUACGCCGCUGUUCUGACGGUACCCAAAGAGUAAGCACCGGCUAACUUCGUG
rnacentral:rRNA from 1 species